CCUACGGGAGGCAGCAGUGAGGAAUAUUGGUCAAUGGGCGAGAGCCUGAACCAGCCAAGUCGCGUGAAGGAUGAAGGAUCUAUGGUUUGUAAGCUUCUUUUAUAUGGGAAUAAAGUGAGGAACGUGUUCCUUUUUGUAUGUACCAUAUGAAUAAGCAUCGGCGAAAUCCGUGCCAGCAGCGGGGGUACUGCGGAGGAUGCGAGCGUUAUCUGGAUUGAUUGGGUUUAACGGGUUCGUAGGUGGUUAAUUAAGUCAGCGGUGAAAGUGUGUGGCUCAAACAUAAAAUGGCCGUUGAGACUGGUUGACUUGAGUAUAUUUGAGGUAGGCGGAAUGCGUGGUGUAGCGGUGAAAUGCAUAGAUAUCACGCAGAACACCGAGUGCGAAGGCAGCUUACUAAACUAUAACUGACACUGAAGCACGAAAGCGUGGGGAUCAAACAGGAUUAGAUACCCCAGUAGUC
rnacentral:rRNA from 1 species